AUGCCGCUCCGCACGCUGCUCCGGCACCUAGCCGCCGGGCGCUUCGCCCGCGUGCAGGCUCUCACGGGCGCGGCCACGGCGGCGGCGGCGCACCGCGUCCUCCACCUCCUCCUCCGCACCGCGCCGCUCCCUCCCCUGCCCCACCUAGUCUCCCUCGCGCGCUGGUCGCGCGCCCACUUCCGCGCGCCGCUCCCGCUCCCGCUCCACGCGCUCCUCCUCGCCCGCCUCGCCUCCCACAGGCUCUACCCGCUGCUCCGCUCCGAGCUCCACGCCCUCGCUGCCGCCCGCUUACACUCCCCGCCUUCCAUCCUCCGCGCCCUCCCCGCCGCCUCCUCCCCCACCGCCCCGCCGCUCAUCGCGGACAUGCUCGUCUGUACGCUCGCUACGGAUUCCCAGCCCUUGCCAGCGUACGAGGCUUUCCUCUUCGCCGGAGACAACUACCCGCGCCACCGCCCCUUUGUCUUCUCGGUGAACCGCCUUCUAUCCGCCCUCGUCGACGCUGGCCGGGCCGACCUCGCCGAGAGGGCUUUCAGGGCGGCGCUCCGGCGGCGGGUAUCGCCGGACCUUUUCACUUUCAACAUCGUCAUCUCCGGGCUCUGCAAGGCCGGCCAGCUCAGGAAGGCUGGCGAUGUGGCCAAGGACAUCAGGGCGUGGGGGCUGACUCCCUCUGUGGUCACCUACAAUACUCUCAUCGCUGGAUACUGCAAGAGGGGUCGUACCGGGAGGAUGUACCAUGUGGAUACACUCUUGAAGGAGAUGAUCGAGGCUGGGAUCUCGCCAGAUGAGGUAACAUUCAAUGUGUUGAUUAAUGGGUACUGCAGUGACUCGAACCUCGCUGCUGCGCUGAGAGUCUUUGAGGAGAUGAAGCAGCAGGGGAUUGCGGCGAGCGCGGUGACAUACGCUGCACUUGUUUCUGGUUUCUGCGGCGAGGGGAAGGUAGAGGAAGGGGUGAAGCUAGUGGAUGAGAUGCAGGAUUUGGGGUUGGCGCCUAAUGUGGCUACCAUGAACAGUGUGCUGAAUGGGUUUUGCAAGAAGGGCAUGAUAGCAGAUGCUGAGAACUGGAUUCAUGGUAUGGUGCAGAGGAGUGUUGAACCUAAUGUCGUUACUUACACUGUUUUGAUCGAUGGAUAUCGUCGGCUCGGCAAAAUGAAGGAUGCAGUGGCAGUCAUGGACGCGAUGGCAGGUAAGGGAAUUAGUCCAAAUGUCAGAUCGUACAAUUGCCUGAUAGCUGGGUUUACCCAUAAUGGGGAUUGGAGGAAUGUUUCUGGCCUUCUCGAUGAGAUGAAGGAGAAAGGUGUUUGUGCUGAUAUUGUUACUUACAAUACACUUAUUGGUGCCCUGUGCUGCAAAGGGGACGUACGGAAAGCCGUAAGGCUUUUGGAUGAAAUGGUGAUGGUUGGCGUGGAGCCAAAGCAUGUGACUUACAACACCAUAAUACAUGGAUACUGUGAGAAGGGGAACAUCAAGUCUGCCUAUGAAAUUAGGACCAGGAUGGAGAAAGAUAGGAAACGGGCAAAUGUGGUCACAUACAAUGUGUUCAUCAAGUACCUUUGUAGAAUGGGGAAGAUGGAGGAGGCUAAUGAGCUCCUGAAUGAGAUGUUGGAGAAAGGUCUCGUUCCAAAUGAGGUUACCUAUGAAACAAUCAAGGAGGGGAUGAUGGAGAAAGGUUAUGUCCCCGAUGUUAGAGGACUCACUUGCUCAGAAUCCUCUCAAAACCUUUCAUCUACCUGAACACAUGACACCCCUGCAGCGGCCUGCGGUGAACCGGCUCCGGCGUGCCACUGCAGCUCCCCUCCACCCUGCUUCGACCAGGUCAACUUCGCGCUGCCCAGCCAGCGGAUGCCCAUAUCAGACCUCUUCACCUGUAUGACGCUCGUAGAGUGGUUCACCGUGUCUGUGCUGGUUUAUUGGCAUACUACCCAGGACUUUUGAUUGUCCCAGAUUAGAUAAUUUGAUCGUUUCAGGUAUGUUGUCACUUUGUCUCUUUCACAAACAGUGUUGUAAGCAUGAUUCCAUCAACUUGCGGGUGCGGCUCCAACCAUCGACAUAGUAGGAUCACUAAAGAGUUCCCUGUCAUUCACACUUCUUCAUUGAUUAGUUAGUUUGCGCCAUAUGCAAUUGAUUUAAUGUUUAUAAUCUGUGAUAUAUGAACUGCCAAAUUCGCUGAUAAAAAUCUUGUAUGUUCACCUGCGACAGUAUCCAAUAUUUUCCAUGAUUGAUUUGGAUAAAUGUCGGAGUUUUAGGAGCUUUAAGAAUCCUUGGAUCUUGCUUUGUUGACGACAAGUAUGUGAAGUAUUUUAUCAGUGAUUAUUUUGGAUGCACUUCUGGACCUUUUGACAGCUGAACGAAACCAUCUUUCAUUGCUAUUCAUAGCAUCCAAAUUUCAUUACCACACGUAAAACCUGCACUGUGUCAAUUUGUUGAAAUAGACAUAUAUCUACUAAUUACCAAUACAUAGUCAUUUUCUAUCAGCUAACUAUGCAAUGUGUUGGAUAACUGUUGGUGAAUCUGUUGUAUGACAUGUUGGGCUGUCUUCUUCCAGUUCUGACCUAUAUAAGGUGCUUCUAUCUCAGAGUUCUGUAACCCUAACAAUAGGGAGGAAAAUUCCUCCCUGCAGCCACCAUCAAUCCCUACCUCUGUCCACAUGGUAUCAGAGCAAGGGGCACUGAGGGCAGUGUUGAUCUGGAAGCCUAGACUGCUGCGGUAGCUAGGAGGAAGAGGAAGGGAGCAGGUGGCUGGGGGAAGAGGAAGGGAGCAGGCUGCUGCGGCGGCAAGGAGGGAAAGGCAGUGACAAGUAAGGAGAUGAAGAGGACAUCCUGCGGGUAAGCCCUUUGAUGUUUCUGAGAGGUUAGUUUGGUGCCAAGCUGGCUGGGGGUGCGAAAGGCAGUACCACAGCAACGAAGGCAAGCAUAGGGGACAACGGGAAUUUGACCAAGGCUCUGGAGAAACUAGCACUACCAAAGGAUGAAAGGAGAUGGAGGAGGAUCUGCUGGAGGGGGGCAAUCGUUUCCCAUACCGACAUUCGUCAGAAACUUGAGCUGCUGGCUAAUGAAAUCAAGCUGGAAGGAGUGACCAACUAUCUUCGGUGGUCAAGGAGGGCGCUGUUGAUUUUGAACUCGAAAGGGCUGGAUGAAAGCUGCAGAACCAGCAGACAAGACCAGUUCUGAAUGGAAGAAGUGGAAUGCCAUAAGUUCUCUGAUUGUGGCAUGGUUGCUUAACCCUUUGGUUCCUAAUAUUGCUGCUUCUGUAGAGCACUCACAAAGAAGGUAUGGGACACCCUAUCAAAUCUCUAUUCUGGAAAGGGAAAUAUUAUGUUGAUUGCUUAGAUUGAGGAUAAAGUGCAUGACUUGCAAAAAGGAGACAAAACUAUGAUAGCAUAUGUGGCUGAGCUACAGCAUCUUUGGGGAGAUUUAGAUCAUGUUGAUCCUCUAGAACUUGCCCAUGGGGAAUGCGUGAGUGCUGCUACGAGCUGGAUUGAACGCCGGCGGGUUAUGAAGUUCUUGAAAAGUCUUAAUCAAGAUUUUGAGGGAAGAAGGGCUGCUUUAGUGCAUCAAACCACUACCCCUUCUCUCAAAGAAGCCAUUGCAGCUAUGUCCAGAGAGGAAGUGCGUCUAAAUAUGGCAAAGGGCAGCGAUUAUGUCCCUCAUUCGACCUUCUACACUAUCGAGAGACCGAAGAUGAGAGACUGCUAUACUUGUGGACAGAAGGGACACUUGAAGCAUCAUUGUACCUCCUUUGCUACACCCGACAGGGGGAGAGGGGGAUACAUAUAUGGUAGAGGAAGCUGGAAGAGGUGAUGGUAGAGGUGGUGGACAGCAAUAUGUCAGAGGUGGUGGACAACAAUAUGGCAGAGGUAUGGUAGCAGCUUUAGAGCCAACAACCAGGGUCAAUGAAAGAAAGAAGGACAAAAUGAAGCAACCUUUGGGAACUUUGCUCACUAUGUCUACAAAGAUGAAGGUAAUAUUGAUAGUGUCUAUAGCCACUCAUAAUGUUAAUUCAGAUUGGAUUCUUGAUUUGGAGCAUCCAAACAUGUUACUGGGAAUAUUAGUGAGUUUGACUCUUAUACUCGGUAUCCUCCCACACAUAUAGGCACUAUUCAAACAGCAGAUGGCACAACACAAUCUAUAAAAGAAGAGGGGUCGGUGCAAUGUACACCCAACAUAAAAUUGUCAUCAGUUCUACAUGUUCUUGCAAAUCUGUUGUCUAUAUGCCUCAAUUGAUCAACAUGAUUACCGUAUAAUAGUUGAUAUGUGUUUAAUUCAUGAAAGGGAGAGCAAUAAGAAGAUUGGGACUGCAACCAGGCAUAGAGAUCUUUGGCACAUAGAUCUUGACAAGAUGUAGCAUGAUGCAAGUUUUGUGCUUGCUGCGAUUGUUAGAGGAAAGGAGAGUAUGGCACUGAUUCAUCAUUGUCGAAUGGUCCACAUGACGUUUGAUAAAAUGUUUCAAGUUUUUCCUGAUGUAAUGGAUGGAGUGGACAAAAUCAAAUUAUGUUGUGAUGCUUGCGAAUAUGCUAAGCAUACAAGAACCUCUUAUGUUUAGAGGGAUCAGAAGUGUAUCUCCAUUUGUGUUAGUGCACUCUGAUGUAUGGGAUGUAUGGAAGUACUUUGUGACCUUUAUUGAUUGCUAUUCCAGAAUGACUUGGAUCUAUCUUAUGCAUCACAAAGAUGAAGUGUUCACUUAUUUUCAGAGUUUUUGCGCCUACGUGAAAAACCAAUUCAAUGUUAACUGAUAAUGAAUGGAGUUGUUGAGCGGAAGAAUAGGCACAUUCUUGAAGUGGCUCGAUCUGUUAUGUUUACCAUGAAUGUUCCCAAAUUCUUAUGGAGUGAGGUAGUUAUGACUGCUAUGUAUUUGAUCAACAGAAUGUCUUCAAAGAUUCUAGGUACGCAAUCUCCUUGCCAACUCCUUCUAGAUAACAAUGACUUUGUUGUGCCACCCAAACUCUUUGGUUGUACAAGUUUUGUAAGGGAUCACAGACUAUCUGUUGUCAAGCUAGAUCACCGGGCUAUCAAAUGUAUUUUUAUUGGCUAUUUCUCCAGAUAGAACGGUUACAAGUGUUGGAGUCCCACCGACAGGAGGACAUUUGUAAGUAUGGAUUUUACGUUUCACGAGUCAGAACCAUUUUAUGGCGGUGAGAGUGGUCUUAGUGGCUUGUUCCAGGGGCUUGACCAUCUAGGUGAUGCUCAAGAGGGGGAGAAGCAGAUUGGAGACCAACAACAACAAAGUGGUGACCAACAGCAACAUCAUCAAAUUCCUAUUGUUGCGGAGAUUUCUGGUACACCUACACCACCUAGACCCGUACCACCACAAAGAUGGCUGCAUAAUCCAUUUGUGUACUCCAGAAGACAAGUACAAAGGUAACAAGUAGAUGCACUGGAGGAGUAACAAGACCAGGGGAGCAACCCAUU